GGAGACAGUGUAAUGUUCAGGCCAAUACAUUCUAGUUCAUUAUCACAUGACCACUCAAUUUGUUUACAUCGGAUAUGUUCUUUAAUGUAAAUCAUCACACCCCCUCCUCUUCCUUCAGUCCUGUCUCUCCUGAAAACAUUGUAGCCAGGCACAAUCAAAGCAGCAGAUGGAGAGUUUUUAUGGAGCCAUGUCUCUGAGAGGCAGAGAAAGUCAAGGUUGGAGUCUGUGAGUAGAUGUUGAAUUUGAUCACUUUUUGGAAUGACACUACGAAUGUUCAAGUGCCCCCCUAGUAGUCCCUUGGGUUUAGCUCGUGGGUCCCAGAUGACUCGAGAGUGAUUGACACAUUGAAAAAAGUUAAAUUUUCUGUGUUUUCUGACGGCUGGGUUUAGGCCGUUUUGAUUAGGGACAGUUCGGUAGCGCAAUUAACAAUCCCUCCCGCCUGCACUGGAUGCGGGGAACUAAUUAAAACAGCUUGCGUACCAGAAGCAGAGUCAGGGAUCGCAUAUAGCGACUUUGGUAUGUUUGAAGAGUCAAAAUCUAUCCUGGAGCCGGGUGAGUCGAGAGAAACCAUAGGACCAUAGCACUCACCCACUUCCACAGCGGCGACGAUCAGUGGACGAGGCCAUCCACCGCUUUCCACUCCGGUGCGUAUCGCUGGCUCGGUGAUGUUGGGCCCAGGAUUGAGUUGCACAUCCCCGGAGAGCAGGAGGGUAGUGAACAGAACCUGGCCACCGUGGCAGACUUUGCUGUGAUUCUGGACACCAUCCCUCUGACGAUGAACUGUCUGUACAUGGUGUGGAUCAUCUCCAGCUACUACAACAAGGAUGAACGCAUGGAGCCCUUCACGGAGCGCAUUGCCCGGGAGCUGUCUGUGUGCGUGGCUCAUAUCAUCAAUGUCCACCUGCUCUGUUUGUGCACCAGCUUUCUGCUAUGAUUAUGAAUACAUGGGGCUGAAUGGUCAUCUGGUCAUCACCCAGCCGACUGACCGCAUCUACCUCACCCUCACACAGGCUGUGGGUAAGAUUUUGUCUGGCCUGGCCCAGUGUGUUGCCUGGGGCUGCUUUGAUGAAUUCAACCUCAUCGAUGACUCUUGCUGUCUGUCAUCUACUCCCAGAUCCAGACCAUCCGCAAUGCUCUCAUCCUGCACCUCAAAGUGCUUCCAUGUGGGUUAUUAUGGCACACAGUCAUUUCUUUGAUGUCUGGAGACUGCCUGGACAGUUCUGGAUACAAAAACAUUGCAAUUUGAUUUUCAGGGCCUGGAGAUCAGCAUGGACGACCGCAUGGGAAUCUUCAGCACUAUGAACCCUGGCUACGCUGGACGCACAGAGCUGGGCGCACAGAGCUGGGCGCACAGAGCUGGGCGCACAGAGCUGGGCGCACAGAGCUGGGCGCACAGAGCUGGGCGCACAGAGCUGGGCGC